CACGAGACGAAACGUAUUCGUAUAUGUGAUGUACGAUUUUGGCUGUGACUCACUGUACAAUGUAUUUUUCUGUCUACGGUUCUGAAAUACCGACACUGUAGAAAAUGCCUGUAGCGUUCGUGUUACCACAGUAACGUGCGCGUUUUACUUUGCCGGUCUACUCGAAGCGCAGGAUUUUGUUAGAAGGUGUUGUUGCAAAGUAACCAUGAAAGAAAAGGGGUCGCUACUAGUUUUCUCAUUUCCGCUUCCGUUCGGUAGUUUUCAGAGGCUAAAAUGAAUGUGCUUCCUCCCGCGGUUGAAAUUGUUAUUUAUUAUUAAUUUAUUAAGUACUGAGCUAUUUGUUUAUGAAUAAAUAUUAUGGAUACAUCGAAAUGGAAGUGUGGGUAUACAUUGAGAGGAAAAAUAAAUGUGUGUGAAAUAGUUAUUAUAUAGAGAUGUUGUGCUCGUAUAGGAAUUUGGUGAUUAAGGUCAGUUCCUUUAUGUGUGGUAGUUAUCAAUCUAGGAAACGUAAACUCAUAACUGGGGAGACUUGAUUCUUCUACAAGAGAGGACACUGGAUAUGGUAGGAUAUGGUUUAUGUUCCGUUUGGUUGACAGCACAAAUUUUGUAGAGAAAUUCAGUUAGACUAUAAUGAUUGGAAGGAGCUAGAGCGAUUUACAAAGCUAAUAGUCGUAGUAAUUGAAGAUUAUGAAACCAGGGCUUGGUUGUCUUCUUGAAGUAUUUUUGGAAGUAGUUUGUUCCAGUUGGAUUUGUAUGAUUGGUAUUAGCUUUUUCCAUCCAAUUGGCAAAGCUCGAGUUCCACAGCAUUCUGUUGUGGAGCUUGUGUAUUGCGAGCAUUGCUUCUUUGUCCAGCUUGUUGACUGCUUCAUUGGUACCUAGUUCUUUGUGUGAUGGCACCCAUAGAAAUUUGAUUCUAGAGUGAGUACUGUUGCUGUCUCUUAGGUCCUCUGCAAGUUUGCAUUUUAUGUCUAGAACAUAUCUGUUUUAUAUUGCUUGGAUGGUUAGUUAAAGUGGAGAUAACACUAAGAGCUUCAGAGCAGAUGAGAAUUAGGUUACACUGAAGGUUCAUUGUCAUACAUAGUGUUCAGCAUAUGGCAAUGCAUUCUGCAAAAAAAACUGAGAGGUGUAUGAAGGCUAACACAUUCAGCUUUAAAGAGCAGUGCAAAUUUUGGAAUCAUUAGUGUAAAUGAUAAUGUGAUUUCGAUAUAAGGAAUUGAUUGUGGUAUUGAAAUCUGUGUUAAUAUCUGUACUAUUGGCCAGUUGAAUACCUGUGUGGAGGUUGCAGUCAGCAGAGGUGAAAAGACAGGAAAACUAGUUUGGAUUUAUGUUAAAUAUAUAGUCCUUGGCUAUUGAGUGUCUAAUUGGUCAGAGUUCAAGGAGUGCAUCCACGUCUCUUAUUGAACUCUCGGUCAGAAUUGGCAAGUGUUGCUAUAUGCCCCGAUGUAUUGGCGGACUCUAUCUGAAUCUGUGGAAAUCUAAGGGUUAGGCAUGUAUGGGCCGUCUAAUGUGUCCUAUAACUGACUGUUCGGGCAGAGUUGGAGAAAUUGAGGCAGGCUUGGGCGAGUGCUUAUAGUACUGUAAUAUUCGGACCAGUAAAGCCAGAAAAUAAUUAAAUGGUUGUGUUUUCCCCACUCCGUCUUAUCCCUUCUACUACCUCAUUCUUCAUCUGUGGGCAUCCACCAACAACCUUUGCAUCCACCGCAGAACCAAUUGGUAAUGACAGAG